rnacentral:ncRNA from 1 species
UCACUAGGGGUGUCUUUUAAAAGACUGAGACUGAACAAUUGUUCUAAACCCUCUGAACCUGAUCUAGUUCAUACUGGCGUAGGAAAGUGGUUAUC